rnacentral:rRNA from 1 species
ACGAACGCUGGCGGCGUGCCUAAUACAUGCAAGUCGAGCGCGGGAAGCUCAUCAAUCAUCCUCGGGGUGACUGUUGAGUGGAACGAGCGGCGGAUGGGUGAGUAACACGUGGGCAACCUGCCUGUAAGCUUGGGAUAACUCGUGGAAACGCGAGCUAAUACCGAAUAAAAAGUUUGUUCGCAUGAACAGACGAUGAAAGACGGCUUUUGCUGUCACUUACAGAUGGGCCCGCGUCGCAUUAGCUAGUUGGUGGGGUAAAAGCUCACCAAAGCAACGAUGCGUAGCCGACCUGAGAGGGUGAUCGGCCACACUGGGACUGAGACACGGCCCAGACUCCUACGGGAGGCAGCAGUAGGGAAUCUUCCGCAAUGGACGAAAGUCUGACGGAGCGACGCCCGCGUGAGUGAUGAAGGUCUUCGGAUCGUAAAACUCUGUUGUCGGGGAAGAACAAGUAUCGGCCUAAUACGCCGGUACCUUGACGGUACCUGAUUAGAAAGCCCCGGCUAACUACGUGCCAGCCGCGGC